rnacentral:tRNA from 1 species
GCCUUCGUGGUGUAGUGGUCAGCACACUCGGCGCGUAUUCGAGAGGUCCGUGGUUCGAGUCCCGGCAAGUGCA